rnacentral:rRNA from 1 species
GAGUUUGAUCCUGGCUCAGGACGAACGCUGGCGGCGUGCUUAACACAUGCAAGUCGAGCGAUGAAGCUUCCUUCGGGAAGUGGAUUAGCGGCGGACGGGUGAGUAACACGUGGGUAACCUACCUCAAAGUGGGGGAUAGCCUUCCGAAAGGAAGAUUAAUACCGCAUAAUAUGAGAGAAUCGCAUGAUUUUCUUAUCAAAGAUUUAUUGCUUUGAGAUGGACCCGCGGCGCAUUAGCUAGUUGGUAAGGUAACGGCUUACCAAGGCAACGAUGCGUAGCCGACCUGAGAGGGUGAUCGGCCACAUUGGAACUGAGACACGGUCCAGACUCCUACGGGAGGCAGCAGUGGGGAAUAUUGCGCAAUGGGGGAAACCCUGACGCAGCAACGCCGCGUGGGUGAUGAAGGUCUUCGGAUUGUAAAGCCCUGUUUUCUAGGACGAUAAUGACGGUACUAGAGGAGGAAGCCACGGCUAACUACGUGCCAGCAGCCGCGGUAAUACGUAGGUGGCGAGCGUUGUCCGGAUUUACUGGGCGUAAAGGGUGCGUAGGCGGAUGUUUAAGUGGGAUGUGAAAUCCCCGGGCUUAACCUGGGGGCUGCAUUCCAAACUGGAUAUCUAGAGUGCAGGAGAGGAAAGCGGAAUUCCUAGUGUAGCGGUGAAAUGCGUAGAGAUUAGGAAGAACACCAGUGGCGAAGGCGGCUUUCUGGACUGUAACUGACGCUGAGGCACGAAAGCGUGGGUAGCAAACAGGAUUAGAUACCCUGGUAGUCCACGCCGUAAACGAUGGAUACUAGGUGUAGGGGGUAUCAACUCCCCCUGUGCCGCAGUUAACACAAUAAGUAUCCCGCCUGGGGAGUACGGUCGCAAGAUUAAAACUCAAAGGAAUUGACGGGGGCCCGCACAAGCAGCGGAGCAUGUGGUUUAAUUCGAAGCAACGCGAAGAACCUUACCUGGACUUGACAUCCCUUGCAUAGCCUAGAGAUAGGUGAAGCCCUUCGGGGCAAGGAGACAGGUGGUGCAUGGUUGUCGUCAGCUCGUGUCGUGAGAUGUUAGGUUAAGUCCUGCAACGAGCGCAACCCUUGUUAUUAGUUGCUACCAUUAAGUUGAGCACUCUAAUGAGACUGCCUGGGUAACCAGGAGGAAGGUGGGGAUGACGUCAAAUCAUCAUGCCCCUUAUGUCCAGGGCUACACACGUGCUACAAUGGUAGGUACAAUAAGACGCAAGACCGUGAGGUGGAGCAAAACUUAUAAAACCUAUCUCAGUUCGGAUUGUAGGCUGCAACUCGCCUACAUGAAGCUGGAGUUGCUAGUAAUCGCGAAUCAGAAUGUCGCGGUGAAUACGUUCCCGGGCCUUGUACACACCGCCCGUCACACCAUGAGAGCUGGUAACACCCGAAGUCCGUGAGGUAACCGUAAGGAGCCAGCGGCCGAAGGUGGGAUUAGUGAUUGGGGUGAAGUCGUAACAAGGUAGCCGUAGGAGAACCUGCGGCUGGAUCACC